GGGGAUGUAGCUCAGUUGGUAGAGUGCUUGCCUACAUGAAGCCCUGGGUUGGAUCCCCAGCAUCACAU
rnacentral:tRNA from 1 species